GAAUUGGAGAGAUUCAACAAAUUUCCACCAUGGAUCCAUUGAUCUCUAAGGAAAAUGGUGAUGAAGAACUCGAAGGAGCUGAGUGCUUUGCAUGUUGGAAGCCAUUACUAGAUUCUGUGUAUUUAUCUCCUGAUUGUGGAUUUUACCUACAUGCCAAAUGUUUAGAUCCAUGUGCAGUCAAUCACCUUCCCCUCCAUGAACAUCCUCUUAUUUUACAGUUUAAUAGUGAACGUCUCUCUUGCAAGAUAUGCCAAGAAACCCAACGUAGGGGAUUUGUUUAUUGUUGUUCAAUUUGCAAGUUUGCUCUUCACAUUGAAUGCGGGUCACCACCACCAAUUAUUGAAGAUAUAAGUCAUCAACACCCUUUCAUCCUAUUUUGGAGACGAGUCCCAUUCAUUUGUGAUGCAUGUGGCUCCGAAGGGAAUUAUGUAUCCUACAUUUGUUCUACAUGUGGCAUUAUAGUCCAUAGGAAAUGCAUUUCAUUGUCACGCACCCUCAAUCACCCAUGGCAUUUUGAGCACCCCAUUUCCCACACCUAUUUCCUUGGGCAAGAUAAGUUUAAAUCGUGGGAAUGCGGAAUUUGCCAUCUAGAGGAUGUGAAUUCAAAGCAUGGAAGCUAUUAUUGUUCUUAUUGUGAUUAUAUUGUCCAUGUGAAUUGUGCAAUAGAAGAAUAUAAUUGGUACAAUUUUGAUGAGUCAGGAAUAACAGAAGAGAGUCUUGAAGAAAAUUCAGCAUUGCUACCAUAUUCAAUCAUUAAGGAGAUCAAAGAUGGCGAAAAUGUGAUAGUCACUGAGAUAAAACAUUUUAGCCAUCAACACAACUUAAUUUUAAGUAAUGACAUCAAGGGUGACAAAUGUUGUGACGGUUGCGUGUUAUCCAUCUUUACUUCUUAUUACUAUUGUUCACAGUGUAAUUUCUUUCUUCACAAAUCCUGUGCUGAAUUACCAAUGAAGAAACGCUUGUGGCAAAACUCACACAUGAAGCCUCAUCAACUUAUUACUUCUGACGGCAUUUUCACAUGUAAUAUUUGUGAGAAUGAAACUAGUGGUUUUGCCUACACCUGUACUGAAUUCAACUGUUGUUACUGCCUUCGAUGUGCUUUAACAUCCGUUACUCUCAAAUGUCAAGGACAUGAACAUCCCCUCUCCUAUCAAAAGUAUCAAGGGUUGUGUAAAGCUUGUGGUCAGCCUUUCUACUAUGGAUAUGCAUUCAGAUGUAAGAGUUGCGAUUUCUCUUUGCAUAGUAAAUGUAUCGAUCUACCACUGAAAGCUCGACACAAAUCAGAUGUGCAUCAUUUCUCACUCACUUAUCGUGAUAAUAAUAAUUAUUCAGAAUCUCAUUAUUGUGACAUAUGUGAAGAAGAAAGAAAUCCAAACUAUUGGUUUUAUCAUUGUGCAAUAUGUGACAAUUCAGCUCAUCCUAAGUGUGUUCUUCCAAAAUACUCAUUUAUCAAGCUCGGAAGCAUCUACACAAAAGGAGAUCAUCCACAUCCUCUCACUUUUGUCCAAAAGGUUCAUUAUUAUCCAGAAUGCUAUAGCUGUGGUGAGCCUUGCCUUGAUCUAGCUCUUGAAUGUAAAACAAUUGGAUGUAACUACAUUGUCCAUUGGGAGUGUAUAAAACCUUGAUUUUAAUUUCUUUUUUUUCACCAUAGUUAUUGUUGUUGAAACAGUGAUGAGACAAAUAAGCAGUUUGAUGAUGGGACUCAAAAAUACUGCUUUGCUUGGUUGUUUCUAAACUAUUUGCAAUUGUUCUGUGUUAGUAUUUGUCUCCUUGUUUGGGUUAUUAUCAUUUGAGAAUUUUCAAAAUUCUGGCUUCAUAGAGGUAAUGUAACUGGAAUUAGUUUAUGAUAUUUGUAUUUCAUAUUUGAACACUGGAAGAUCACUUGGUAUCUGUAAGGUUCUCUACUUUUCAACUCAGUCAAAUGAUUUGCUAUCACUCAAAGACUUUAUUAAAUAUUUUAUCAGAUGUUAUGUGCUAUUUCAAAAAUGCUGAAUUGCCUCUUGAUUAUAUCGAUUUUUAUAGCAGUCUUGCACAUAAAUUUCCUCUUAAUAACAUUCAUUAUGUCCUUUUGUUGGUUCUUUAAUAAUAUUGUAUUCAUUAUGGAUGAAUAUGAAAGUAAUAGAGAGAGAGUACAAUCCAUUUCCUAAUCUUUGCUUGAACUUUUCAAGAAAUUUUGCUUAAACUCCAAUUUAUGUCAAAUUCUCUUUUGAAGAAAUUUCCAUGGUUAAACUAUGAACUUUGAGAAGAAGCUUUGAUUAAUGUAACAAGAGAUAAUUCUAUUUUAUAAAAUUAUUUUACUUCAAUUUUGUUAUUAAAUAUUAGUUAAGUCUUCAAUUUUCAAUUAUAAUUUAAUUAUUUUUAGUUGUUUUUAUAAUUAAGUUACUUUUUAGUGAGUUAUUUUAAUUUUAUAUUAUUUUUUUAUUUUAGUUAUUAUUUAUUGGUUUUUAUAUUUUUUUUGUAGGAUUAAAAGUGAUUGGGCUUAAUUUUGGAAAGUAAGGUGUUGAAAGACUCAAAAUCUGUUUGUAUAUGUUUCAGUAUUUUGGCCAUAUCUCGAGCUAUAGAACUCCAAAUGAUACGAUUCUUAGACCAUUAGAAAUCUAAGAGACAUGGCUACAACUUUUAUGAAGAUCACUUUGCUCAGUUCUGCUUCGAAGAUAGAGAAAAUCAUGUCGGAAAAUGACUAAAUGUACUGUACCGAGAAUGAAAAAUUGUAAAGAUUGAUAAUUGAUUUUUGGGCCUUUUAGUAUACUUUUAAGCCCAAUUAAACCCUAGGUCAACUUAAAGAACUUUAGGUUAAGCUCAUUAGUAUAAAUAGGAUAUGUUUAACAGCAUUAGGAGACAACUUUUAAGAGACUCAAGAAGUUACAAGUUGAGGUUGAUACUUGGAGAUCAAGGUGAAAAAUAUUGUUUUGUUUUAUUCCUUAGCUUUUAUCGUUCUUGAUACUUUCAAUGGUUGAAUUUUAUACAAUGUUAUUUGUUUUUGCAAUCAUAAGUAGCUAAAUUUCUUUUUCUAUGAUUGCAAUUGAACUCACAUGUAGUCUAAGUUUUUAAUCUUUGUCUUACUUAUUUUUAAUGAGAUUUGAAUUGUUUAUUCCAAUUUGUUCUUAAUACUUUUAAUUGCUUGGCCACCAAUUAAAUUGAUCUAGGAACUUAAACAAACUUGGGAAAUGGAGUUUAGAGUAGACUAAAAUUGGGAUAGCAUAUGAUCAUAUAAAUUGAUUUGCGUAUAGGAUAAGGAUAUAUCUAUAGGCCAUAUGUAGCCAAAUUAGAGCCUGAACUUAAUGAGUCUGUUUUAAUUUCAAUUCACAUAGGGAUAUAGUAUUUUGAUUAAAAUAGAUAUUUUUAUAGGACGAGUUGGGAGACCCUUAUAAAUAAUUGAGAACUCUAGGUUAGCAAUUCAACCCGUAAGAGAGGUAAAAUUUAAAUGAAAUGUGAGGGAUAUUGUAAUCCUAGGCUUGUUUGAUUUGAUAUUUUCUAAAGUUAUUAUUAUUUUGAUUUUUCUUAUUGGUUUUAAUUUUAGUUAAUUAGUUUUAGCUAAUUAAUUAAUUUUGAUUAUUUGGACAAGAUUAAAUUGUUCUAAUUUUAGUACUUAGUAAAGUUUUAGAUCAAUUCCCUAUGAGAUCGAUAUUCUACUUGUUAAUAUACUAUCUAUUCGAUACGUAUACUUAUAUAGUAAAAUUUUAACUAACAACAAGAAAGAUUUAUCAUUAUCUGCUGCAUUAAAUCAUUCUAUAUUAUUAUCAAAGAUGAUAACUAUACACCUAAAGUUGCCUAAGAAACAAGUACAAGAUCAAUGUCUAUAAAGGAAUGAAGAUUUUUACUAAAGAUAUUACAACAAUUGAAUGUCACUGACAUCUUCAUUUGACAGUUAUUAAGAGACAACUCUAGUGCCUUCUGUUCUCUCCUCCAAACAAUCUCCCCUGAAAAAGAAACAUAUUUUAUAACCAAAAAGAAAAUGUAAAAGAAACAGGAAAAUUAACUAAAAGGUUAGCUCUUGAUAAUACAACAACUAAUUAAUUUUGCUUGUGUUUAACGUUUCAUUAAUUAUAAAUUGCUCUUCUUGAUUCAAUGUUCUGUGAUUGAGGGUUAGGCCAUGUUUAAAAUUUUAGGUUCAUUCUUUGUUAAAUCUGCAGGGUAGAUUCCAGAGGUUAAAGAUUUUAUACUUGCGAGUAACAUAAUUGAUUAGAAUUAAACGAAACAAUUCAAACUUUUUUUUUUUGAAAAGCCAAAACAAUUCAAACAUAAUAAACUAAAGUUUAAAAUUUGAGUGAUCUCCCUCUCUAUUCCUAUCUCUCACCCUCUCUCCUCACUCAAACUUAAAACUUUGUUUGAUCAUAUUUGAAAUGUUUAGUUUAAUAAGGUUUCAAAGUGAAUACCAGAGAAGAGAGGAGUUGGAUGUAAUGGAAACCUUGAAGAUAAAGGCCUCGCUGUCUAUAAGAAUGAGAUUGACAACAUCAAAGCCAAAUACACCUAAUGAUACCUAGCUGCCUUGCUAAGCCUUCCAAGCAUCAGAAACAUGUCUAUUGCCUGUUGCAAGCAAGAUAUAGCUGCAAUAUAAUUAAAUAGGAAAAAGAUGAAGAAACCUUCUGGAGAGUGACUUUCGUUAAAGUUAAAUCUACACUUAACCUUAUUGAUGUUUUCUUCCGGUAUUCACAAGCAUCAGCCUAGGCUUCACCUUUCCUCUCUAACUAACCAAUAGCUCUCCAAAGAACAAAAAACAAUUUGAGUUCUGAGUUUCCUCAUUAGCUCACCUGUUUGAGAGAUGGGUGGUUGGGUUGGGACGACUUAGCCUUGGCCAAAGAUGCAGAGGAAGUCCUCAGAGUAAAGAAUGACAACGAAGAGAAUGAAAGCUAACAAGGUGUGGAAGUAAGGAGAGAGAUGUGCCUUCUUAAGAACAGAAGAGGAGGAAGGAGAGAGAAGAGGCUUCAUUUCUUUUCUUUUUCCUUUUUUUCCUUUCGGGUAUGGCCAACUAUAGAUGAAAUUGGGGUUUGAUUUUCGAAAGCUUAUAGUAUUGCUUUAAAUUAAGGAUCAUUUGCAUUAAUGAACAAAUAUAUAAAAGUUUCAAUGUUUCAUUAGGUUUAAAUAUGUUAAUUUUGUAUAUAUAUACAGUUAGCUUAUGUUGGAUAUAUAUGAUUAACUAAUAUGAAAAUUAAUUAAAUAACUAAUUGAAAAAUAAUACAGAGUAUUAAUUUAUUAGGUUUUUGUAAAAAAAUUACUCAUUUUGUUCUUUUUUCUUUGUCCUUUCUUUUCCGAGAUAUAUUAAAAUGGAAUUUCUUUUUUCCUAAUUGUUGGCUGUUAUGUUAAUGUUUUUUAACUGGAAUCCCCAUUGUCAUAUGGUCAGCUAGCUAAUAGUGAUGGAUCAAUUAAAAGAGUUUACAUAUAUAUAUCUAUAUAUAUAUAUAUCUAUAUAUAAUAUUUGUCNAUUAUAUUUAUGUACCUAAUUAAUGAUUGUAGUUAGUUGUCUAUAUAUGGAUUUUAAUUGGUUUGUUUAAUUUCCUUGUUUUGAUUGUCUUUUAACCCAUUGCAUUGAAUUAAGAACUUGCAACAUAUUUUUUUUUAUAAUAUAUAAUUUUUAGGUGAAUUUCAUUUUUUUUAUAAACAAUAACCUCAUGUCUUGAUUCUCCAUGCAUGUAUAAAUAUUCUAUGGUUGGUACUUAUUAUAAAAUGCAUUGACUCCCAAAAUUUUCUUAUAAAUUUUAAGACAAAUGGGGCUAAUCAAACAUAAAUAUAGCUAACAAACUACACAAUCAUUGCUUAAUUAUUUAGUAUUUUCUUCCUAACAUGAUUCAUGUUCCAUUUCUCACUAAAAUCUUUGUUUUCCUUUUUUUUCUUCACCGGGCAGCCCAAGUUUUAGAAUUUUGCUGAAAGUCUUCACCUCACGUCUUCACUAGGUUUGGUUGGAGUUAAGGCCCAAAUCAAUCUAGAAAGGUUCAUUCAGCCUGGGCCUAAAGCCCAUGUAAAUACAUCAAACAUUCUUCAUAUGGGCUGAAGGAAGCCCUAUAGAAGGAUCCGAAUUUCAACAACCAACCAGCCACUCGAAGCUUGACCAAUGUCAUUUCACAUAAAUUUCCUCUUAAAAACAUCCAUUAUGUUCUUCAAUCUAAUGAUGGAUGAAUCUGAAGGUAAUAGAAAGGAUUCAAUCCAUUUCCCAAUCUUUGCUUUGAACUUUCCAAGGAAUUUUGCUUAAACUCCACUAGAUCAAGCAAAGAAAAAGCAAACAAAAAAUUCAGAAUCAAACUAUUCACAAGUUAAAUCUUUACUCAUAAGCAAAACUUAACUAAACUGUAAACUCUGGACCAAAUUCUCUUUUGAAGAACUUUCCAUGGUUAAACUAUGAACCUUGAGAAGAAGCUAUGACUAGUGUCAUUGACUUCUUCAUUUGGCUUGGAAAACGGUUCACAUUGUCGAAAAAAUCAUGAGCAAUGAGAAGAUGAAGAAAAAGAUUAAGAGGCCGAAGAAAGGCAGAGUCAUGUGGUGUAUAAAUUGGAAACAAGAGUGGUAGUUGGCCAAAAAAAAAAUUUCUUGGAUUUAAUUAAUGAUAGUAGUUGGUGGACUUUAUAUUUAAUUAAUUCAUUUCUUGAAUUACGAUUAACUUUUUUUUGUCCUCUAACUUGUUCUGUAAUCUUAUGUAUUAAAUUAUUUUAUGCAAUUUUACACAUUUUAUAUGAGAGUUAGGUGAUAAUUUAUUUUGUAAAGAGUUAACCUCUUGUCUUGAUUGAUCUCCAUAUAAAUAAAAUAUUUAAUGCUUGGUCCAUGGACUAUUUUAUUCCCAACAUAAAAUAGUAUAAAUGUAAGACAAGUUGUGCUAAUUAAACAUGAAUGUUGCUGUCUAUACCAAACACUACUAUUAAUUACAUAAUCAUUACUAGGCUGUUAAGGCUUUAAUUAUUUAUUUUCUUUCUAAGAGGAUUUAUGUUCUAAGUUAGGACCGCCUCUAGAUCACUUGUUUUCUUGUUUACGGAAACGAGAAGAAAUGAGAGAUGGAGCUGCUUCAACAUUUUAGCCAUGAACAUCCGCUGAUUUUCAAUGAAGAGCAAGGCCAUGAAAGUGAGGAGCAGGCUUAUUGCUCAGGAUGUGGGGAGCUGGUGUCGGGUCCAAGCUUCAGCUGUGUGGAGUGUGGGUUUUACCUUGACAAGAAGUGCGCCGAGGCACCUUCACAGCUGAAUCACCCCUUUCAUCAUAACCACAGCCUUAAUCUUCUAGCAAGCUCGCCAUAUGAUGCAAGUCUGUCUGUUAUUUGUGAUUUCUGUGACGAAAUAUGUGACAGGUUUGUUUAUCAUUGUUCUUGUGAAUUAGACCUUCAUAUCAAAUGUGCUUUGUUUUCAUAUAACAUUGCUGAAAAAAGAAUUGGAGAGAUUCAACAAAUUUCCACCAUGGAUCCAUUGAUCUCUAAGGAAAAUGGUGAUGAAGAACUCGAAGGAGCUGAGUGCUUUGCAUGUUGGAAGCCAUUACUAGAUUCUGUGUAUUUAUCUCCUGAUUGUGGAUUUUACCUACAUGCCAAAUGUUUAGAUCCAUGUGCAGUCAAUCACCUUCCCCUCCAUGAACAUCCUCUUAUUUUACAGUUUAACAGUGAACUUCUCUAUUGCAAGAUAUGCCAAGAAACCCAACGUAGGGGAUUUGUUUAUUGUUGUUCAAUUUGCAAGUUUGCUCUUCACAUUGAAUGCGGGUCACCACCACCAAUUAUUGAAGAUAAAAGUCACCAACACCCUUUUGUCUUAUUUUGUAGACGUGUCUCAUUUAUUUGUGAUGCAUGUGGCACUGAAGGGAAUUAUGUAUCCUACAUUUGUUCUACAUGUGGCGUUAUAGUUCAUAGAAAAUGUAUUUCAUUGCCACGCACCCUCAAACACCCAAGGCAUUUUGAGCACCCUAUUUCCCACACCUAUUUCCUUGGGCAAGAUAAGUUUAAAUUGU
rnacentral:lncRNA from 1 species